GGAAAACAUAAGAAUCUACAGAGCAACAGCAAAAGGGUUUGAGAGAGUAAUGAACUGGUGAUCUGUGCGCCAGUCACGAGCCAGCAGCUCUGGUUUCCCUCCUGGAUGCUGAAGCGGCUGUGUCUGGGCCCUAGGAUGAGGUGCUCGGAGCCAGAGCCUGCACUGUGGGUGGCUGGAUCCAACCUGGGCCGAGGUGGAGGCGGCUGCCAUAGGGAGAGCGGGAAGGUGGCAGAGUCUUCCUGUCCCUCCCACUUUGGCUGGCGCUGAAUGAUUAAAACUAAGGGCGGGUGUACCUGCACUUGU